rnacentral:lncRNA from 1 species
AUGUUCCCAGGGCAGAACUGCCAGAAUUCCUUCACCACUCCGCUCCAAGGCAGUGCCUCAACUACGAAUGACCACAAUCUGAACUAUAAACUAGAUUGUGCUAACCCUGACCUGGCCUCUCUGAAAGACACGCUGUGUGCUGACGUCCUCAUGGGUUCAGGAGACAAAUCUUCUGCAUCUCUGCUCGCCUUUUGUCAGGCACUGAGCUCGCUCAGCAGCAGCCAAAUAGAGCUUGUGUGGAGCAACAUGUGUUUUAUUAUCGAGCUCGUGGUGUCAUCGCUCAUCCACUCGUCCGACUGCGCUGUUGAGGCCACGAUGCCUCCUCCGCUUGUCACAUCUCUGCGUCAGUCUUCACCUGCAUUCCAUCAAGUCGGCCGUGGCAUCUCAAACCUGCAGCCCUCCUGCAACUACAGCACCUGGUCUGGGAACAGCACGGUGAACCCUGAUCUUGUGUCUCUGUGCAGCAUUAAUGAUCGUGCUGGAUUUGUGAGGCAGGUGUGUAACAACUCGUUGUUGAUGAAGAAGCUGCUUUCAGACCAGACGAACGUCUGGCUGUAUGGAUACUGUGCCAGCUCCCCUGUGGACCCUGGAUUCCUGGUGAGUCAGUUCUGUGUGUACGACCAGUGGUUGGCCCAGCCCUCUCAGCUGGUAGACCCCGCCUUGCUGGGGUUCUGCCUGAGCCUUGAUCAAGUCAGACUCACCAACCUCAUCUGCAACAAUGUUGGGUUCUUAAUGCUUCUGUUCUCCAACCCGGGGAACUGGCAGUUAAUGCCCAACUGCUCCAACUCACCUCCUCCGACCUUUGACCCGGCCCCAAUACCACUGGACUUUUGUCAGUACUCGACGUGGGACGACGUGAUGCAGAUUACCACAGACGUUGUGUCACAGUGCAUCCUCUUUGAUCAGGCUGGAUUCACGAGUGCGGUUUGCGCCAAUAAAACCUUUCUGAAUGCUCUUCUUCUCAACAAAGACCUCUCGUGGCUCGGGACGCAUUGCAGCACGGCUCUGCCUCCAGGGCCAACGACGCAGCCGCCAACGAUGCAGCAGCUCAACUGGGCUGCCUGGUGCGACUACCACACGUGGGGACAACGGCAGGUGGAUGAUUCAUUUGUCGCCUUAUGUUGGCAGAAUGAUCAGGCUGCCUUUUUUAAGAAUGUUUGCUGCGUGGCGUCUGUGAUUGAAAAUCUGCUACAAAACCCUCUGAACCAAUGGCUUUCCAUCACCUGCACCAAUGUGCAAGAAAUAGCGAUUACUGUGACGCCACAGGUGAGUUUUUUUUUUUUACCACCCAGCAAUAUUUAUCUGGUUCAAAAACUGACGAAUUUAGUCUGA